rnacentral:rRNA from 1 species
GACGAACGCUGGCGGCGUGCUUAACACAUGCAAGUCGAGCGGUAAGGCCCUUUCGGGGGUACACGAGCGGCGAACGGGUGAGUAACACGUGGGUGACCUGCCCUCAGCUCUGGGAUAAGCCUGGGAAACCGGGUCUAAUACCGGAUAUGACUCCAUGACGCAUGUUGUGGGGUGGAAAGCCUUGUGCGGCUGAGGAUGGGCCCGCGGCCUAUCAGCUUGUUGGUGGGGUGANGGCCUACCAAGGCGACGACGGGUAGCCGGCCUGAGAGGGCGACCGGCCACACUGGGACUGAGACACGGCCCAGACUCCUACGGGAGGCAGCAGUGGGGAAUAUUGGACAAUGGGCGCAAGCCUGAUCCAGCCAUGCCGCGUGAGUGAUGAAGGCCUUAGGGUUGUAAAG